rnacentral:rRNA from 1 species
CCGGGUUGCGGACAGUGUCUGGUGGGUAGUUUGACUGGGGCGGUCUCCUCCCAAAGAGUAACGGAGGAGCACGAAGGUUAGCUAAUCCUGGUCGGACAUCAGGAGGUUAGUGCAAUGGCAUAAGCUAGCUUGACUGCGAGAGUGACGGCUCGAGCAGGUGCGAAAGCAGGUCAUAGUGAUCCGGUGGUUCUGAAUGGAAGGGCCAUCGCUCAACGGAUAAAAGGUACUCCGGGGAUAACAGGCUGAUACCGCCCAAGAGUUCAUAUCGACGGCGGUGUUUGGCACCUCGAUGUCGGCUCAUCACAUCCUGGGGCUGAAGUAGGUCCCAAGGGUAUGGCUGUUCGCCAUUUAAAGUGGUACGCGAGCUGGGUUUAGAACGUCGUGAGACAGUUCGGUCCCUAUCUGCCGUGGGCGCUGGAGAAUUGAGGGGGGCUGCUCCUAGUACGAGAGGACCGGAGUGGACGCAUCACUGGUGUUCGGGUUGUCAUGCCAAUGGCACUGCCCGGUAGCUAAAUGCGGAAGAGAUAAGUGCUGAAAGCAUCUAAGCACGAAACUUGCCCCGAGAUGAGUUCUCCCUGAGACUUAAAGUCUCCUGAAGGAACGUUGAAGACGACGACGUUGAUAGGUCGGGUGUGUAAGCGCAGCGAUGCGUUGAGCUAACCGAUACUAAUGAACCGUGAGGCUUAACCUU